UCGUAACAAGGUUUCCGUAGGUGAACCUGCGGAAGGAUCAUUACCGAGUGAGGGCCCUCUGGGUCCAACCUCCCACCCGUGUUUAUUUUACCUUGUUGCUUCGGCGGGCCCGCCUUAACUGGCCGCCGGGGGGCUCACGCCCCCGGGCCCGCGCCCGCCGAAGACACCCUCGAACUCUGUCUGAAGAUUGAAGUCUGAGUGAAAAUAUAAAUUAUUUAAAACUUUCAACAACGGAUCUCUUGGUUCCGGCAUCGAUGAAGAACGCAGCGAAAUGCGAUACGUAAUGUGAAUUGCAAAUUCAGUGAAUCAUCGAGUCUUUGAACGCACAUUGCGCCCCCUGGUAUUCCGGGGGGCAUGCCUGUCCGAGCGUCAUUGCUGCCCUCAAGCCCGGCUUGUGUGUUGGGCCCCGUCCUCCGAUUUCCGGGGGACGGGCCCGAAAGGCAGCGGCGGCACCGCGUCCGGUCCUCGAGCGUAUGGGGCUUUGUCACCCGCUCUGUAGGCCCGGCCGGCGCUUGCCGAUCAACCCAAAUUUUUAUCCAGGUUGACCUCGGAUCAGGUAGGGAUACCCGCUGAACUUAAGCAUAUCAAUAA
rnacentral:misc_RNA from 2 species